UGUAGCAAUACACUGAUGGCGACCGGCAAACGGGUGCGGAACACGUACGCAACCUUCCUUUAACUGGAGAAUAGCCCGGGGAAACCCGGAUUAAUACUCCGUAACAUUAUGAAGUGGCAUCACUUUAUAAUUAUAGCUCCGGCGGUUGAAGAUGGGCGUGCGUCUGAUUAGGUAGUUGGCGGGGUAACGGCCCACCAAGCCUACGAUCAGUAACUGGUGUGAGAGCACGACCAGUCACACGGGCACUGAGACACGGGCCCGACUCCUACGGGAGGCAGCAGUAAGGAAUAUUGGUCAAUGGACGCAAGUCUGAACCAGCCAUGCCGCGUGGAGGAUGAAGGUCCUCUGGAUUGUAAACUUCUUUUAUUUGGGAAGAAACCCCCGAUUUCUAUUGGGGUUGACGGUACCAGAUGAAUAAGCACCGGCUAACUCCGUGCCAGCAGCCGCGGUAAUACGGAGGGUGCAAGCGUUAUCCGGAUUCACUGGGUUUAAAGGGUGCGUAGGCGGGCAGGUAGGUCCGUGGUGAAAUCUCCAAGCUUAACUUGGAAACUGCCGUGGAUACUAUUUGUCUUGAAUAUAGUGGAGGUGAGCGGAAUAUGUCAUGUAGCGGUGAAAUGCUUAGAUAUGACAUAGAACACCCAUUGCGAAGGCAGCUCGCUACACUAUUAUUGACGCUGAGGCACGAAAGCGUGGGGAUCAAACAGGAUUAGAUACCCUGGUAGUCCACGCCCUAAACGAUGAUUACUCGACAUCAGCGAUACACUGUUGGUGUCUGAGCGAAAGCAUUAAGUAAU
rnacentral:rRNA from 1 species